rnacentral:snRNA from 1 species
ACACGCUUCUGCGGUAUAUGUACUGAAAUUGGAAAGAUACUGAGAAGAUUAGCGUAGCCGUGGUGCAAAGAUGACACGCAAAAAUAUUGAAACAUUCCUCGCCACU